rnacentral:rRNA from 1 species
UUGGAGGGCAAGUCUGGUGCCAGCAGCCGCGGUAAUUCCAGCUCCAAUAGCGUAUAUUAAAGUUGUUGCAGUUAAAAAGCUCGUAGUUGAAUUUCGGGAUUCUACCGUUGGUCGGGCUAACAAGUCUGUACUGGUGUGUAGAAUUUCUACCUUCUGGGGAACUAUCAUGUUAUUAAUUUAGCGUGGUGGGAAACCAGGACCUUUACCUUGAAAAAAUUAGAGUGUUCAAAGCAGGCUUACGUCUGAAUACAUUAGCAUGGAAUAAUAGAAUAGGACGGUGGUCCUGUUUUGUUGGUUUCUGAAUCACCGUAAUGAUUAAUAGGGAUAGUUGGGGGCAUUAGUAUUCAAUUGUCAGAGGUGAAAUUCUUGGAUUUAUUGAAGACUAACUUCUGCGAAAGCAUUUGCCAAGGAUGUUUUCAUUAAUCAAGAACGAAAGUUAGGGGAUCGAAGACGAUCAGAUACCGUCGUAGUCUUAACCAUAAACUAUGCCGACUAGGGAUCGGACGAUGUUAAAUUUUAUUGAUUCGUUCGGCGCCUUACGGGAAAC